UUGGCAUGACGAGGUACUUAAAAAUUGUUAAGGUACAUGUGAUGUACCUACGAUGUACUCGUCUCAUAAGAGGUACCAAGUUUUGAGAGAUACUUAUACUGUGAUUUUUUCGUGAUAUAUGUGUUGUAUCAUAUGAUGUACUCGUCUCACAAGUUCAUGUAUUCUCUGUAUUAUUAUUUGUUUCUUGGUGAUUGCUAUGAGUUGAUGUACUCUUGAUAUGACGAAAUAAUUGUUAAGGUACAUGUGAUGUAACUACGAUGUACUCGUCGGAUAAGAGGUACCAAGUUUGGAGAUAUGCUUGUACUGUGCUUUUUUCUAAAUAUAUGUGAUGUAGCAUAUGAUGUACUCAUCUCACAAGUUCAUAUACACGAGAUACUUAAAAACUAAUAAGGUACAUGUCACAUACCACAAUGUACUUAAAAAUUGCUAAGGUAACCAUGAUGUACUUAAAAACUUGUUUAUGUACUAUGUUUGGUGUACAUGUACCUGACGUGAUGAAAUAUGUACCAAAGAAUAAAAUUAGUAAAAAAUAAAUAAAUGACUCCCCAAAAUUUUCAUCUACAAAAAAAACAUAUUAGAGAAGCAACAAGAAAGAUAGAGAAAGAAACGAAGGAAAAAGAAAAGGUGUCACGAGCAGGACAGAAGGUCACGUCAAAACAGUCUGCUAGACAUAAAUAAAGUAGUAUUCUUUUCUGCUAAUCAUCUCCCCCCUCUACAAGACACAGUAAACCAAAUUGCAGAUGAACGGCACAGCAAGCCCCUAUGCAUGGUCUAACCGCUAGCACGAUGGGGGCAGAUAUUUGGGGUGGUAUAACCUCCGCGUUAGUUUUCUUGACGGUUCGACAAUUGAGCGUAGACGGUAGUGCUUUGCAUAAAAAAACUGAAUUGGACUGUUACUUUUGAAAGUGCAGUUAUUUGACUGGCAUUUUAAAUUGUCUCUUCGAAUUGCUAGUGUUCAGCACUAACAUACCGACUGAUCAGUUUUUUUUAAAAAAAAAAUGCAAAUUCACAAAAAAGGUCUAGGGAUCGAUGUGGAAAGAUCCAAACCGGGCGAGUAACUUAUUCCCGUCUCUGCUUCGUCGCCUCCCUUUUGCUUCAACGGGCG
rnacentral:lncRNA from 1 species